rnacentral:rRNA from 1 species
AUUGAACGCUGGCGGCAUGCCUUACACAUGCAAGUCGAACGGCAGCACGGGUGCUUGCACCUGGUGGCGAGUGGCGAACGGGUGAGUAAUACAUCGGAACGUACCUUAUCGUGGGGGAUAACGCAGCGAAAGCUGUGCUAAUACCGCAUACGCCCUGAGGGGGAAAGCGGGGGAUCGCAAGACCUCGCGCGAUUAGAGCGGCCGAUGCCUGAUUAGCUUGUUGGCGGGGUAAAAGCCCACCAAGGCGACGAUCAGUAGCUGGUCUGAGAGGACGAUCAGCCACACUGGGACUGAGACACGGCCCAGACUCCUACGGGAGGCAGCAGUGGGGAAUUUUGGACAAUGGGGGCAACCCUGAUCCAGCAAUGCCGCGUGAGUGAAGAAGGCCUUCGGGUUGUAAAGCUCUUUUGUCAGGGAAGAAACACCGGCCCUAACACAGUCCGGGAAUGACGGUACCUGAAGAAUAAGCACCGGCUAACUACGUGCCAGCCGCCGCCGUAA